UGCCCAACAACUCCUAUCCCUACCUCCACGCGGUACCGGCCGGAAACUAUGAGCAACCUUAGGGAAGAUCGGGUAACCAACCCCGGUGGGACCUUUGGUCGUAGGCUGACAGGGAAGG
rnacentral:ribozyme from 1 species